AUUGAACGCUGGCGGCAUGCCUUACACAUGCAAGUCGAACGGUAACAGGUUAAGCUGACGAGUGGCGAACGGGUGAGUAAUAUAUCGGAACGUGCCCAGUCGUGGGGGAUAACUGCUCGAAAGAGCAGCUAAUACCGCAUACGACCUGAGGGUGAAAGCGGGGGAUCGCAAGACCUCGCGCGAUUGGAGCGGCCGAUAUCAGAUUAGGUAGUUGGUGGGGUAAAGGCCUGCCAAGCCUACGAUCUGUAGCUGGUCUGAGAGGACGACCAGCCUCACUGGGACUGAGACACGGCCCAGACUCCUACGGGAGGCAGCAGUGGGGAAUUUUGGACAAUGGACGCAAGUCUGAUCCAGCCAUGCCGCGUGCGGGAAGAAGGCCUUCGGGUUGUAAACCGCUUUUGUCAGGGAAGAAAAGGUUCUGGUUAAUACCUGGGACUCAUGACGGUACCUGAAGAAUAAGCACCGGCUAACUACGUGCCAGCAGCCGCCGUAAUAC
rnacentral:rRNA from 1 species